rnacentral:lncRNA from 1 species
UGUGAUAUUAGAUGAAAAAUCAUAAUGUCCAAGAUGUUCAUAUUAGGCUAGUUAAGUUAUAAAUUCAAUGCCAUAGCAAUUAAAAAUCUCAACACACCUAGAUGUAAACUUAACUGAGGCUGAAAUUUAUGCAAAAUUUAUAUAAAGCAAAAGACUUAUUUUAUAUAAAUCUUUAAACUUUUAACUCUAUAGAAAUAAUAUUUAUAUAUACAAAUAUAACUGUACAUAUAUUUAUAACCGAGGUUUAAUAUCCUGAACACGAAUAAAAAUCCUCUAAGUCAGUCAGUAUAACAAAAAUAAAUUAAACCACCUCUUUAGCCCCUGGAAAGUAGGCAAAGGAUAUGAACACAUAAGGCACAGAUUAGGAACCCCUGGUAAUAUCUAGUAAACACAUCAAGUCUGCUUUUAGUUAUAUUGCAGAGAAACUCUUACACAUGUACUUCCAGGGGCAUGUACCAAACUGCUAACUGCAAUGUUGAUUGUAAUUUAAAUAAAUAAAUACCUGAAAUGGGGUACAUUACAAUACUGUAUAGCAGUUAAAAUGAAAUGAGAUUUAAAUAUAGUCACUGAAGAGAUCUCAAACAAAUAUUUAGUGAAAAUCUAUGACAAACAUGGUAUAAUUUAGAAAAAUCUGAAUACCCACAUACCCCAAAUAUAAUACUAUUAUGGGUAAACCUAUGUAAUAAACAUGGACUUGAAGAAAACAUAGUAACUUCAGAACAAUAGUCAUUUUUAGGAGAAAGGAGAGACAUGGGGCUUCUGGGAUCCAAAUAAUACCUGAAACAAAAAUUAGAGAUUAAUACUUAGUAGUUUCGGUGAUUGAAUCAUGGAUAUGCAUUAAACCAUCUCUGUACUUUUCUGUAUUGUUAAAUCAUUCUCAACAUGUUUUAAAAGUGCUAAAUAUUUUAAAUGUGAUGAUUAUUGGCUCAAGACAAAUAAAAACCAAAAAAACCAUAAAAUGCAAUCUACUUUUUUUCCCAUUCCUUUUUUCCCCUCAUAAUCUAAGCGUGGGAAGUAACUAUUAAUGUAGCUUGAACUUAUCUCAUGUUGGAUUUGGAGGCUUGUAGACAUAAUUACAUUUAUCAUAUAAUGCCUCCAGUUUUUCCAAUAUCAAUGAAGGAGAAAGUAUCCUUAGCUAACAAAGUGAGCAAGCUGCCUAAGAACCAUUGUUUUACAAACUAUUACUUCCAAGGGCCAUUAUCUUUGCUUUUGUUUAAUUUACCAUUAAGAUUGAGUUCUAUGAUGCAACAGAAAUGUACUUGUUAAUUUUGAAAACCCCAGGAUAUCUCAGUUUUUUUUUUUUUAAAAAAAGCUUGCAUUUCGCACAUGGGAAUCAAAACAUCAGCAGCUCAGAAAACCCUCCAAAGCGUCUAUGUCCAAAGAGGCCCUUGUGCUCUGUGCUUUUACUCUCAAUUUUUCUUUACCUAAGAUUCUUUCCAAGAAAGGCAAAAAUCACUUAGAUAAAAUUUGUGGGUGUAUUCUUUCACUAAAAAUCACACUACUUUGAACUUGAUGGCAUUUGUAGCCAGUCACAACCCAAUAAUCAGGGCAGAACAAGUCCUUGAACAGAAUUCCCCUAAAAACAAUCAAAUUUAUAACCCAGCAAAGCCUGCAGAAGAUAUUCUCAAAUCCUUCCAAUGGCUGCAAAUGCCUUAAUUAAUGUGUGUCCAUCCUCUGAAAAUCAUUUUUUUUUUGUAGUUUUUAAAUUUUGGAAUAAUUUCAGGACUAUAGAAUGUUGCAAGCCUAGUACAAAGAACCCUUGAACACUUUACCUGGACACAUACAUACACACAUACAUGCGCACACAGAGAUACAAAUUAUCAUAAUCUUUCAGAGACUUUUGGCAGUAAGUCUUACAGAUAUGAUAUCAUUUUAACCCUAUAUGUAUAUUUCAGUGUGCACUCCCUAAGAACAAGGACAUGUACUUACAUAAUCACAGUAAAAAUAUCAAUAUUAGGAAACUGGCAUUGAUAUAGUGUUAUUUUUAAUCUAUAAGCUCUGUUAACAUUUUGCCAAUUACAACAAUAAUGUUUUCUGUAGAAAAAAAAAAAAAA